rnacentral:rRNA from 1 species
CUCGUAGGUGGUUUGUCGCGUCGUCUGUGAAAUUCCGGGGCUUAACUCCGGGCGUGCAGGCGAUACGGGCAUAACUUGAGUACUGUAGGGGUAACUGGAAUUCCUGGUGUAGCGGUGAAAUGCGCAGAUAUCAGGAGGAACACCGAUGGCGAAGGCAGGUUACUGGGCAGUUACUGACGCUGAGGAGCGAAGGCAUGGGUAGCAACA